GAGAGUCUGAGACAUACCACGGUAUAUAGAGAACUAGGUAAAACCGGUUUGCCGCCACAACACUAAGGUAUUUUGACCACUUUCUUCAGCUGACCUUUUAGAACCAAAAACGAAAAGUAGCCCAUAUAUUUGGCUUAUAAUAAUUACACACAUAUUAAUUUGAAGAGCAUUAUCACAGAGGAAGCGACGAGUAAAUCUGUGUGAUAAUAAUUAAAAUAAAAUCAAGCAAUUUGCACCAUUUUCCCCCAAUAAUUUAUUUAACGUUACGGAUGUUUAUUGCAUCUGAAUUUCAUUUUGUGUCUUCAAAUAAUAAAAUUAAUAAUAGAUCUACACAAAUAUCCACAAUAACAGCUUUAUUCAAUUUCUAGGAAAACCAUGGCCUAUGCCCACUUCUCAUUCACGACGUAGUAAUGUUUCAAAGCAAUGGUUUGAUUAUUCAUCAUUCACCGGUCCACAACCGCGCUAUAUUUAGACUUAAAAAAGAUUUUUCUACAAUAUUAGCUAUAAAUUAUCAAGGUUCAUGCCUGACAUUCAAAAAUAUUCAAAGAAACAUAAAUUAGAGCUGCAGUUCUAUCAGGUCCCCGCAGCACACCUCACACGAGCUGUCUCAAAAACAAAAGGGAGUCGCGAUCUAUAAAAAAUACGAAAAAAUGCAGAAUUGAUCAUUCUAUAAGUUGGCCAAUUCCUGAUACGAAGUCAAACUUGAAACGUACUCAUUUUUGGUUCCAAACAUGAAAGUUUGCAUUUACCUGGUACUCAACUUUGAACAAAAUCGCACAUCUUUUGGAAAGUUAAACGUAAUUGUUGAAAAAUUAUACGUUUUCUGAAAGAGCAAACUUUUUUACGCUUAAUGCAUGUAACAAAUUGGGUAUCAAUCUUUGAAAGAUCAUAAAAUUCACGCCUGAAGUAUGUCACUGUUUGCUUCGCGUUGGGUGACGCCUUCACAUUGUCUGGAUGAUUACUCGAAAACAAGAGAGAGUCGCGAUCUAUUGAAAGAUGAAAAAUGUACAGAAUUAUCCAUUUAAUAUACCUUGUAAAUCUCAAUACCAGGUCAAACUUGAAACGCACCCAAUUUCGGCCCCAAAGACAUCAGAACGAUUUUACACGAGGUACAUCAGUUCGUAAUGGCGUAUGCUGGUGUUCGAUGUUUGUGCUCAUGAUGCUUUUGCUUUUUAUUUCAGCGUUUGAAGACGAAAUUCGAGGCAUGAUUGGCUCAGAACAGCUAAGCUCAUUGCCAAGAUUCAAAUUAUGAACAGUUUGACAAGCAUUGUUUGUAUUGUAUUGUAGUGUAUUGGUAGGGGUUUAAAUUUGAGAUUUCAGCGAAUUUCAAAUUAGAAGUGAUGUAACAGUUGUGUCAUUGCCGAGCAAUUAUGAAAUUCUUCCAAAUGCCAUGUUGGAGGGAUUGGAAAGCCAUAUUGAAGUAUCAUUGGCGAUAUUGGCUAGCCAGUUCACAUAGGUACCUAGCAGAGACCAGAGUUGUUUGAUAUUUGAUAAAUAUUUGGUUGGUAGGUACCUUUUCAUUUGAAUUAAAGCUGGAACUGGAACAUAACAGUGAAGAAAAGGAUGCUGAUUACUUGAUGUAUUGAAAAUACCAACUGGGCCCUGUUCAUGUUUCACCGUUCUGCUUCUGACACUGCGCACGCUGCAGCGUGCUGGGAGCUAUAGCAUACCAGCAGCGCGUUGGGUGUUCAUGGUAACAUUACAAACUCGGAUGCCUCAAUGCUGAAGCUUUGAGCCGAAUUCGUCUUGAACGCUGCACCAGCGCUCUGCAGUGCACGCACCAUCCAGAUCGUGAAACAGGGCUCUGGUCGUAGAUGUUGAUUUCUUUGUAACUGGUAACGGAAGCAUCAAGCAUGAUGAGCAGCACCAUGAAGAGUGAGUUGCUGCCGCUGGUAUGGAAAUAUAAGUACCUUUUUGUCUUUUAGCAGAGCUAGACAUUAAAUUUGGUAUCCUUUUACAAACUUACUAAUGGAUGUCAAGAUGUUGCUAACAGUGGUGCUGGCACCACCAACACCAGUCUAUCUCUUUAUGCUGGUGUUUCAUCCCUCUGCACUGCAGAUGGUUGACAAAGCACAAAGCAAAGCAAGCACAAAGCAUUCACUCAGUUCCUAAUCUCGGUCUCCGCUGCUCUCACCUGUGUCAGCUGUCUUGUCUACCCCUGUACUCCUGAGUCCUUACUCCCUCUCUCUUUCGCUUUACCCAGGUUUUGUCAAUGUUCUGCAUGUACAGUUGCUGCUUUUUGGUGCGCCCAGGCUGUCCAUCCAAUUAACGCCUGAAGAGUUGCUGAAAGUGCCUCCCGCCAGACUUGCUGAAUGGCUAUUACCUGCAUCUGCUAUCUGGACUGAAGCUCCCCCAACUAGCUGACAUGGGUCUCGGCAGCUGGGCUUAAUAUGUCACAGGUCAAAGGUCAUUUGGGUCAGGGUCAUGGAAUUUUAAGGACUUGUGUAAAAUUGAUCAGCUCGAGGGUGCUGAAAGUUUCGUCUCAAUCGGCCUCUUUUUUUACGCGAGCUAUCGGCGAAAAACCGAGAAGGGGUCCGUUCGACCCCCCCCCCAUACGGAUGAGGGUUAAGCUACAUUCGGAAAUUCAAACUACAUCUAGCUAGGCACAUCAGCCCAUCAUGGGCGUUUGACUAGUAAAAUAUAAACGUUUCAGCCUUAUGUGACGUUGAAUAAGCCUAAUUUUAUUAUAGAAGGUCGUCAUUAUGUGUCUGCUGCGGCUUUUGUCGUCUUCAUUGUGUGCUUUGUGGUUUUUUAGUUUUGAUCAUAUCAUCCUCCACCAGGCUUGUUUCUGACGGUGGUUCUGGAGACAGCGGGUCGAUCCAGCUGUAGGACGUCAUCUGGAGGUGGAAGAGUGUGAUGGCCAGCCACGCGGCGCGCGUAUCGACAUUGACCAGAAACCAUCACAUCAUCUCCAGGUCACUGGUCGCGGGCGCUCGAGCUGACGGUGUCUUCCAACGGCUCCACGGUGACCAGCGCCGCAACCGCCGAGACCAUCCGACUCCUGAAAUGAUAAUGGCCGUACACGAACAAGAGGCUCUAAGCAUCCAGGUGCAAGCAAGCGCCAUGCUCAGAGGCGUCAUCCGAAGAAGGUCGCACAGGGCACUUAAGGCUGAGCUCGGGUGUAGUGCGCGCUGACGGAUAGGAUGAAAUGACGGCCAUCAUCUUUCAGUGCGGAGAUCAAGAUGGUCGGAGCCGACGUGGCUCCGUUGAUGGUGCGCCGGGGUUGAUUGAGAGUGGAGGCGAGACACCCGGAUCUGUGAAGGAUACGUCGAUACAGGUCUCGACGUCGUCUCGCAAUUUGUGCGAUGUAAUAUGACGGCUAUGCCGUGGUCUCAUUCACUCUCGAUACGCUGAUAAAUCAUAAAUAGGACAGAGGCUGGAAUAAAGAUGAUUAUAUUCCAUAUUUGGAUGUAUAAUAUAAGAUAUAAUUAUAUUCAUAUAAGAUUAUAUUAUAUUUGGAUGUAAGGGGCAGGUUUUUGCCAGCGCGAUAUUAAAAAUCGUGAGCGUGAUAGUUGUAAUCACUCGCGCUUUUUUUGCUGAGCAUCUGUGAGCGAGAAAAUACUUUCUCUGGAACUUAGCAGUUCGCCGUGAAAUAUGUGUAUCUUUGGAGUAAGUUGUCAGAGCAAGUGCAUUUUUGGUGCAUCCACUGCAGCUGCUGUUCUGGAACAGAAACAUGUCGAAAUCGGCUGUAUGUACGCUGUGGCAAAAUCAAGCAGCCGUACCAUGAAUCAAAAGCGAUAUCUGAAUUAAAGUGAAUAUAUUUCACUAUCUUU